rnacentral:pre_miRNA from 1 species
UGGUGUGCACUGGUUGUGAGUAUUACAUCAGGUACUGAUUUUGUUCAGUUUAUAAUAUCGGUACCUGACUAAUACUCACAAUCAGCUCGCCAUGU